GGGCUCUAGGUGAGCAGGGAAAGACCAUUAAAAUCAAUGGCUUAACGAUUAUCCGCACACCACCUUGACAUGGUGGGGGUCGUUGGUUCGAGUCCAAUUGUGCCUACCA
rnacentral:tRNA from 2 species